AUAAGUAAAGAAUUCACCCUUGAUGCUGCUUCUUUAGUUGAGACAAUCUGGUCCCUGGCUUCUACUGGAACGAGAUGUGCGAUGGCUCAUCUCACUCAACUCUUGAAGACAGCGUGUGUACCAGGAAAGGAGAAUGGCAGAAAUGCAAGUUGUGACUACUUGGAGUGGUGCUCUGUGUGCUUCCUUCUUCCCUUCCUGGGACGCCGCUCUCCCGCUGCUCUAACGCCAUGGAUUGACAAAUGUAAGUAUUUAUCUUUGUCUCCCCUUACCCUCUGUUCUUGUGCUUCCUCUGGGCUUAAUUUGCUUAGAAAUUAUUUCUUCAGAGAGGACAAGAGGUGAUGUCUUGUAAUCCAACUUGUCUUCUUGAACAAAUGAAGCACAAUCCUUUGCAACACUUGAAGUUUCAGACUGAAUGAAUUUCAUUGGCCACCUGUAUUUAGAAACUUUACCCUAUGUAGUAUCAUGUACCUUUAAGGGCUUCUUUUGGCGGAUUCUUCCAGAAUCGCCCCUCUCCUCAGCUACUCCCAGAAUCUUUGACCCACAUUAUAGUAAAACUUGGUAGUCAAAGUUGUGUUUUUAGACUUCUAGUAUCUGAAAUGACAUGUUUUGGGGAACAAGUGGGAGCCCUUUUAGUCUGCUCCCUGUCAGUAUAGUUUUUUUAAUUUGCCAUACUUGCUGCUGUCCUCUUGAGUUCUAAUUUUGUCUUCUAAAGCAAUGCAUUUUGCCCUUAUAAAGGUCAUCUUGUUAUAGUUAGGUGUUGUUGUGCUGCUUUCGAUCAGUAACACGAAUGAUAAACUAGAUGCAACUUGGUUCAGGGUUAGUGGUCAUUUGUAUGGAUUACAGAGUAUAGCUAUUGUAGGAAUAUUUGCUUCAAUUUGGCCUUGGUAUUAGAGUACAACUAUCUUGAAUCUACAGAAUAGAACUCUUGGAGUACAACUUGCAAGACAUUCCAAGCUAAUUAGGCUCUAACUAGCUAGGAUGGUCAAACAAAUGAGGGUUGGAGAUUCUAUGAGAAGCUGGGGAGGGGGCCAAUUCUCCCAGGAUCGGCCAAAAGAACUGGCCUUUAGUUUUGGAGAAGCCCAUUGUGCCUGUCCUUAAUGAGCAACAAACUUUCCAAAAGUGAUAAUGGCAAUUUUUGUGAAAUCAGUAGUGCAGUUUGCAUCUUUGUAACAGUACAUGUUAUAAGACCAACAUUAACACUAAAAGUGGGCUGUGUAGUGCCUGGAAGUUUAACUGAUUAUGCGGACCUGCUUUCAUUCGAUUGUGCCUCAAAUUUCACAAUCAUUAUUGUUUUUUAUUUUAGAUGCCUAGAAUUUUGGCAAGCCAAGUUUCGCUGUUAAAUGCCGACUUGUUAGUUUCCGUAUUGGUUGCUUUUUCAAAGGGAUGAGCUAAUCACAUUUAAUUGUGUAAGUACCACUCAACCUCUUGAGGAUCGAUUGGAUGAUGUGAUUAUAUAGCAGAUCUGUUGGUACUAGACGAGAUGUUGUGUAGGAAGGAAAAUAUAAUCAUCAUCUCUCCUUUCUGGGUUUUCUUAAAUAUAACACCAAGAUCUGAUUUGCAGUUGGACGUACUGGACUGGCACAAGAGCACAUUUUGGUUCCAUUUUUACAGCUCUUCAAGACAGCGUGUGUACAAGGGAAGGAGAAGGGCAGAAAUGCAAGGGUGACUGCUUGGAGUGCCAAAAUUUCUGGAGCAGGACACUCGCUUGACAUUUUGUUAUACAUGCAACUAAGCCGGUCAGUUAGCGGCUCUUAGAUCUAUCCGCCACGGUCACCAUGAUGAUGACGACCUCCCCUCCACAUGCUUGUGCUCGGUCGACGACGCGACCGUCUCUUCCUCACCUCACCUCGCCUUAGGUUGGCGGCGUCCAGAUCAAGUGGAUUCGUCAAUGGCCUCGACAGAUGCAGUCUGAUUGCUCUGUCACGCCGUCAUGAAGGCUCCUUCUCCACAACCACACACGGGAAGCCAUGGAAGCUCCAUGUGCUUGUUCUCCAUGGAGGUCAGCAGCUGCCGCGAUGGAAGCAGGUCCCAGAGCUUGUCAAGGUAACCAGUGUCGCUGAUCUGCCAAGCAUAUGAUUCCAGAGCGUCUUGUCAUCAGCGACCUACCUCCACUGGGACCUGACUGCCAUCCGACAACACGUGAGUCAUACCGGACAUCGUUGGGACCUCCAUGUCCGGCUACAUGGGUUGCGGUGAGCCCCUGCUCUCUCUCUCUCUCUCUCUCUCUCUCUCUCUCUCUCUCUCUCUCUCUCUCUCUCUCUCUCUCUGCCCUUAGACGGUCUGGCCAUUGAGCUAGUGUGCGACUGUUGUCGUCAUGCUAUGUGUAGUGGUGGUGGUCUUCCGGCAACUGACAUGAUCUUGGGAUUGUGGUCAUAUUUCAUGUCGAUUAAACAUAUCAUAAUAGUUGUACUUUGUGAGGCCAUGUGUGUAUGUGGCUGCUACCAUGCUUUGUUGCCUAUGCAAGAUUCUGUUGUGCCUCGACAAAUAUUCUUCGGUUUAUCCAUUUAUGUACCUUUUUUGCACUGCAUGUUACAGGUUUGGUAGUGGUCCUUGUUCUAGCUUUGGUAGGAUCCUUGCUUAUGCUCGGAUGUUGAUUUGUUAAUAAUGGCUAUCGUCAAGUAGAAAGAAAACUAUUACCUAUUAACUGGUGUAGUGUUGCUGGGCACAUGUUAGCAGUAAUCUUGAUAUUAUUGUAUCAGCAUUUUAGUUUGCUUUCGUUAUGUAGCAUAGUUUAGAGAGUAGCUAGUCCAGCAAACUUUCAGCGAAGAUGCGCAGAGGAGGCGAGAUGCCGGGUGCCGUGCGAUGCGGCGAGCGCGACGAGAUGCCGACUAUGCCAUGUGAUGCGGUGAUGCUAUGAGAGUCGGCAAGACGCGACAAGGCUGAAGCAUGAUGGGUUGGUUCAGGUUGAGUCGGAUGACACGGCAAGGUCGUGUGAUACGGCAAGCGCGUGGAAGGGUUGAAGCAAUACCGGCUGGAUGGAUCAGUACGUUGGAGCCAAGAGAAUUGGUGUGUUUGUGAGGGUGUUAGCUGCAUGCGUGGAGUAGUUAUCUAGUAGUCAGCUGCAUGCACGUACUAGUCUUUGGACCCUAGAGAGAUUUGUAGGAGAAGAUAAGAUCAUGGGUUAGUGCAUGUAGUUAGUUGGUUAGUGGAGCAACUAGUCUGGAGACGUGGUGGCCAGGUGUGAUGGCCGGCGUGAGUACGUGGGACUUGGCUGAGUGCCAAACUUUGUAUAAAUAGUCCUCUCAUUCAGUAAUGGAGGAGGCCGUGAGGGCUAGAGAAAAACAUGUAGCCAAGGUGGUAACCAAGGAAGUGCUUGGGGCAAAGCUGUUCGUCUUCCUUGGUGUAUGGCGUGUGUGUGUUGAGUCUUCUCACCGUGUGUGUGUGUAGAGAGAAGAGAGAGACCUCAAAAGAGUUGUGCGAGGAAGCUCGGGGUAGAAGAGGAAGCGGCGCCAACAGCACAUACAGAUAGAACAAGUGUUAUCUUUGUGUGCUUUGCAGGGAGCCAUGAUGCAUGUGCUAGCAAUCUUUAUGACUAGUCUUGGAUGAAUAUUUAAUCUAGUUGUCUAUUCGAUUGUCAAUUGUUUGCUAUGCUAGCUGAACAAAGGGUGCUUCUUUUAAUUUCUUAUGCUAGCUGAUCAGUUUCUAGAGCUGAACAAUAUAUCUAGUUUCUUUUAGCUGGGCCCUGGCACAAAUCACACCUGCUCUCCCCGGAGCUCUCUCCCUCCUCUGACGCCUCCGAUGAACACUUCUUCCCUGAUUACAGCCGAGGUGAGCCACUCGCUUCGUUUCUUUUGCAUGAUUACUCUCAUUCCCUGUGUGUCCACAACCAUCGAGCCGUGGUAAUUUUAUACUGGCCAUUGCACGAUGGGCAUUUCUUGGGCUGGGUUUGGGGCUGUGGUGAUGGUGUCUGCUAUAAUCUACAUUUCUGUUUCUGUGAAUGAUUGAGGACCAAAUUAUUUUCCUUACUAUGGCUGCGGCUGCGUUGCACCAUCUUAAUUGGUACUUCUAAUUGUUACACGUGUUCUGAAUUCAUGAUGCUCAGUGUCCCAUGUAGUUUUUAAACUAAACUUGAUGUAGAAGAUGAUCUUUGGAAUAAACUAGAUGCAGAAAAUUAUCACCUUUGGCAAAACAAGUAUAAACUUUGGCAACUUAAUUCACAUGUCGUAUCUGUUUAUUACUUGACAACAAAUUAACAAAGUGGCCGCGACUUGGAAGACGUUUUACUCGACCACAGAAUGAAUUCACUUGUAAUGUUGAAAUAUUUUCUGUAAUUCCUGGCAAACCAAAACAGUAUGCAAAUUAUUUCACCACAUAAUGGUCACGCAGCUGGUUUGAACUCCAAUACUUACAUUUUGAUUCCUGGGUGUAGAUGAUAGACAUGAUUUCUGAUUUCUUCCAUUGAAGGCCUUAGUGGGCAUACCACUAGGGAGAUUUUUGAGAUGCUCAAGGAGUGAGAGAGCUUCGUCUUGCAGUGCAACACACAAGAUUGAGGUCCAGAGCAGGUACCUAUAGGUGCAAUGGUUACAUCAGGCGGUGCCAGCAACCCCAUGGAGGUGGUGGCUUCGCCGGCGCCUCUGCUCUAGUGACCACUGCUUGCCUAGGCAACAUGUGUCGCUGAUCUGCCAAGCAUAUUAUGAUUCGAGAGCAUCUCGUCACGUCACCAGCGACCUACCUCCACUGGGACUUGACUACCAGCCGACAGCACAGCGACCUACCUCCACUGGGACUUGACUACCAGUCGACAGCACGUGAACCAUACCGUACAUCGUCGGGACAUCCAUGUUAGGCUACAUGGGUUGCGAUGAGCCCCUUCUCUCUCUCUCUCUCUCUCUCUCUCUCUCUCGCUCUCGCUCUCUCUCUCUCUCUCUCUCUCUCUCUCUGCUUUUAGAAGGUCUAUUCAUUGAGCUGUGGGCAAUUGUUGUCAUCAUGUGUGUAUUGGUGGUGGUCUUCCGGCCACUACCAUGAUCUUGGGAUUGUAGUCAUAUUUCUUUCUUGUCGAUUAAACCUGUCAUAAUACUUGUGCUUUAAGAGGCCAUGUGUGUAUGUGGCUGCUAGCCUGCUACUAUGCUUUGUUGCCUAUGCAAGAUUCUGUUGUGCCUCGACGAAUAUGCUUUGUUUUAUCCAUUUCUAUAUCUUUUUGCAUCGCAUGUUACAUGGUUUGGUAGUGGUCCAUGUUCUAGCUUUGGUAGGAUCCUUGCUUAUGCUGGGAUGUUGAUUUGUUAAUAAUGGCUAUCAUCAAAUAGAAAGAAAACACUUGCUUAUUAACUGUUGUAGUGUUGAUGUGCAUGUAUAGAUAGAACAAGUGCUAUCCUUAUGUGCUUGGAGGGAGCCAUCAUGCAUGUGUUAACAAUAUUUUUGACUCGUCUUGGAUGGAUAUAUUUAAUCUAGCUGUAUGUUUGAUUGUCAGUUGUUUGCUAUGCUAGCUAGACAAAUGGGCGUUUCUUUUAUUUUGCUACGCUAGCUAAUCAGUUUCUGUAGCUCAACAAUUUUUGUUAUUUCCUAGGACGCAUCGGAGAUGGGACUCGGCGCAAAUCACACCUACUGUCCCUCCUCUGACGCCUCUGGUGAACACUUCUUCUCUGACUAUGACCUAGGUCCUGCAUUUGGAUCUCAUUGCUGCUGCUUUGGUUAGGCGGCAAUUUAGAAACUCUACAGCAGUAGGCACGCGCGAGCGCGUACUUGCAUGUCACGCUAAUCAAGAAUGAAGCAUAUAGUUAGUUCAUAUUGUGUCUGUAAAGGCUAGCUUGCCUAGUUAGGGCCCGUAUCUUAUGUAUCUUAGUGCUUUUAAUCCUCCGCUGAUGUAUCUCCCAUUGUGGUCGAUCCUUGCAGUUUGCCUUUGCAUAUUUGCACUGUUUUGUCUGUAUUAGCUGCCUUUGCCAUUGCAUACUCAUGGUUUUCAUGUGCCAUUGGCUGUUACAAGUGGCACUUCGAGUUGUUUAUUUACCUUACUAAGUAAUAUUCCUUCCAUGAGAUGAGGUUUGCCUGCAACAGUGGCUGUGGUGGCUACCUCUUCCUUGGUUCCGGUGAGUCCCUGGUCUUCUUCCUUUAUCCAUGUGCCCAUUGAGACGUGGCUGAUUGUGGUGCUGGCCACUAGAUCGCCACCACAAACUUGUGUUUGUGAUGCUCUUGUUGUUGAAAUUAGUCCUUGUGCUAGUUAGGAUUUUUUGCUACUGUGCAUGUUGUUUGUUUGGGUUUGAUACUCAUUCCAGAGAAACUUUUUGUAGUAGAAUGAGAUCUUAUUUUAGUUAUUCAUUCGGUGUCAACAAAAGCAUUUUUACUUUUAAGUUAACCAUAAUGAUUUGAUGUUUGUAAUAUGACUAGCUACUCUCACUACUGUAGAACCGGGCAAUAGCACCGGUUCGUAAGG